rnacentral:antisense_RNA from 1 species
CUCAAUGGCGGCUUUGUGCGGGAGACCUUCAGGUCUGCCGGGUUCCUGAUUUCCCGGUCUUGCAGACCCGCACACAGCUGCCACCCAU